UAGUUAGACUUUCUAUUCAUGUUUUAGGUUUAAGUAUUUUCUCAAUACAUCUCGGUGUCUCGUUUAAUACUUUCACGAUAAAGAGCAGUUAGUCAGUUAAUGAUUCCUCAUAUUCUAUUAGUCUGUUUUUCCGCAUUUCCGAUCGUUCUUUCAUCCUCACAACUCUUUUCGCUCCAGGCUUCCCUUCUUGUCAGGGCUUGAGAAGCGUCGUUCAGUUGUCGUUUUACUGCAGUGGUCAGCUCGAUAUCGAAGAUCGAUGGAGGAGCACUGUCUUGAAGAAUUUAUCACUGACAAAAGCAAAUGCCAAGAACAUUUUGAUGUUUACAAGGAAUGCAAGAAAAAAGAGCAAUAUGUUCCUUUUUGUGGGCAUUUCAUAAAGCUUGGAUGAAUUGUUAAAAGGGAUUAUCUUCAAAAAAAAGAGAGUUCAUCAUAAUCCUGGUCCAACUGAUGUUUCAGGAUCAGUUGCCUGCCUGUAUGAUCUCUUAUGUUCAGAAACAGAAUGUUGAAAGUACCACAAUGAUUAAUCGGCAUUUUCUGGUACACAACAAAGGAUGGAAAAUUUCUUGCAACAAGACGGAAAUCAACUUUGUGCAGAUUGCGAUACCCCAAAUCCAAAAUGGGUGUAAGUUUCAUAUAAUUGAUCUUUUGUGUCUCUUUUAGGCUAAAUAGAUUACUACUUGACGACGGGUUUUUAUUGUGCUCCUGUUUUCAGUUUACUUGUUGCUUUGAGCAUGUACUGAAUUAUGAUGACUUAUAAGAAACUGUCAAGUAUCUUGACAUUUUUUUUACUAAAAAACAACAUAUAUUAAAUAAAUUAAUUACAUGAAGCCUGAUUAAUCAAGUGACUGUUUUCUAACUAUUUGUUUGAAAAUUGAGAUGUUAUGUUACAUAUAAUCAUCAUUGCCAUUUAAAAAAAUUUUGUAUUUUGUUGAAAGGGAUACUGUUGAUUAUAAAAAUGUAAUGGAAACUUGAACUAAGAUUAUGCUUACUAUAAUCUUGAGAGUUAUAAAGAGGCCUCAAGAGUGACCAACUGUAUUAGUCUUUGAUUAGUUUAGAAUCAACAUGUGAAGUUUUUGAGUGAUAAUUAUUAGUUACAUAUAAUCAUUUGUAUCACCUUGGUUACAUUUUGGAUUUGUUAAAUACCAAUUUCUUGGGGUAUUUUUCCGUUAAAAAUAAAAUGGUCUAAGUUUUUAACCCGGAUUUUCAGGGUUGAGUAGAUCAUUUCAUUUUGUUAAUACUUUUUUUAUUUGAAAGCAAUGGUGGUUGGGCCAUAUUUAUGAUAGUCAGAUGAGACAUCACACCCAAACAUAGAAAAGAAAAGGGACGUGUAUGAGUGAUUUUCCAUCACCAAUGUCAUAUCAUGUGGCCUAAUUUUUAUUCCUUCCCCUCAUUUAUAUAUCCCUUUCUUCCUUAUCAUAAUUAUUAAUUAUUAUUAUUAUCAUUCAUUCUCUUAAUGCCUGAACUACAUCUCAUCUUUCGCUUCUUUUUUUUAUCUCACCUCCUCCUAACAGGGGGAAAAUGUAAUUCUUGAAUACUCAGGAAAAAAUACGAGCUGCAACAAUUUUUUGAUCACUGCUGAUCGCAUGUCCUGUCCCUUUAUUCCUUCUGAUAAGAAAUCAUCAGCCUCAUCAAAUAACUCACCGAGCACCGGUUCUCUUGUGCAAGAAAAGAAACAUUACGACAAACAGGCCGCUAGACAUCGUAUCGGACAUGCAUUUCGUAACAGCUGGGGGAGAAGAGACGAAUUUAAGGCCACUAAGAAAUAUAACUCGUCAUCGGCUGAUGAAAACCAAAAUGUAUUCAAGUCUUGGUAUCUCCCACUAGACAAAACACUUUCAUGUCUUUCAAAGUUAUAUCGUUGUUUAGAACCAGCAGUUUGCUCAGAAUCCAUCUUUGCAUUUUGUGAUAAAUUCUGUAUGUUACUUGCAUUUUUAAGUUUGUUGUUUAACCAUUCUUUACUUGUGUAGAAAGCAAGCAAGCUCAUAACCAUUCUAUUUGACUGGUCUAGAUCUUCAUCCCUGGCGAGGACCUUACUACCGAGAGUUUUGGAGAGUCAAAUAGAUAAUAAGAGGGUUUGUGAUUCACUUGCAACUAAAUUAUAUUCUCUUUUUUACCUUAAAUUUCUCUUGAACUCUGUUUUUUGCUAUUCUCUUCUUUUAGUUAUUAGUUUAGCAAGCUCCGUAAUAUUCUCUGCUAUGUACCUCAAACGUCACAGAUAUCACAAAUGAUGUCGAUGUCACAAAUGUAAAAACCAUCACAGAUCCUAAGAAUACAACCUAUAUUUCGCAAUAGACUCGUGGGAAUUAGAAUGGUGGUGAUGAUAAUGAGUUCACAUCUUAGAUGUUUAGUUUAUUACUUCUGUUAGUAUGAACAUUUAUGAAUCUCUUUUAGUAUAAACUCUUUUA